rnacentral:rRNA from 1 species
GAUGAACGCUAGCGGCAGGCUUAAUACAUGCAAGUCGAGGGGCAGCACGAGUAGCAAUACUUGGUGGCGACCGGCGCACGGGUGCGUAACACGUAUACAAUCUACCUAUAACAGGGGGAUAGCCUUUCGAAAGAGAGAUUAAUACCCCGUAAUACACGAGACGGCAUCGUUUUGUGUUGAAAGCUCCGGCGGUUAUAGAUGAGUAUGCGUUUGAUUAGGUAGUUGGUGAGGUAACGGCUCACCAAGCCGACGAUCAAUAGGGGAUCUGAGAGGACUACCCCCCACACUGGUACUGAGACACGGACCAGACUCCUACGGGAGGCAGCAGUAAGGAAUAUUGGUCAAUGGGCGCAAGCCUGAACCAGCCAUGCCGCGUGCAGGAAGACGGCCCUAUGGGUUGUAAACUGCUUUUGAACAAGAGAAAACCUCGGUACGUGUACCGAGCUGAUAGUAUUGUUAGAAUAAGCAUCGGCUAACUUCGUGCCAGCCGCCGCGGUAAAACCCUCCG